CUCCGCCGCGGCCUCUGUCGCUGAGCGAGGCCGCCCCGGUGCAGUAUGGAGGCGAAGGUAGGGUUCACGCAGACUACCGGCGGCGCGUGCUCUGUGUUGGCGGAGGAGACCGAAAAGUGGAUGGAACAGGCGAUGCAAAUGGCCAAAGAAGCCCUAGAAAAUAUUGAGGUUCCUGUUGGCUGCCUUUUGGUCUACAACAAUGAAGUUGUAGGGAAGGGAAGAAAUGAAGUUAAUCAAACCAAAAAUGCUACUCGACAUGCAGAAAUGGUGGCCAUCGACCAGGCCCUAGAUUGGUGUCGUCGACAUGGCAAGAGUCCUUUGGAGGUGUUUGAACACACGGUACUGUACGUCACCGUGGAGCCGUGUAUCAUGUGCGCAGCCGCUCUCCGCCUGAUGAAAAUCCCGCUGGUUGUCUAUGGCUGUCAGAAUGAACGAUUUGGUGGUUGUGGCUCUGUUCUAGAUAUUGCCUCUGCUGAUCUACCGAAUACUGGGAGACCAUUUCAGUGCAUCCCUGGAUAUCGGGCUGAGGAAGCAGUGGAGAUGUUAAAGACCUUCUACAAACAAGAAAAUCCAAAUGCACCAAAAUCAAAGGUUCGGAAAAAGGAAUGUCAGAAAUCCUGAACUUGUUCUAAUGAAAGACUCAUGCUCCUGGACGACAUCCUUGGACAAAAAGCUGUUGACAUUGUUGAAUCAUUGUGUUUGCAGCAUGCUCGCCAGACAUGGAAUCUUAGAAGAGCCACUGCGAAUGCUAGAUGCAGUCUGUAGAAUUCAUUGUCUUUUAAAUUUGGAUAUCAUUCAUGACCACACACAUGCUUAGGAAGUGAAGUAUACAUAUGUCAUUUGGAUGCUCCUGGUACAUAAUGACAACGUGUCCAUGGUCCUUGACAGCAGCACGUGAAGAAGGGCACUUACUCCUGUGAAUCACAGGUUGCAGGAUUUUGGAGGUCUCUGCCGACCUCCCAGCCCAGGACAGACCCUGUGAAGCCAUCCAGCACUGCAGCAGAGCCAAUCAAUAACGAGAUUACUCACCUCGUCCUUUCUCCUGCCUCUGGGCAGCAACAAAGCCAACCCACUGUAGUCAAACAGCUUUUACAAGAACCACACACACUUUCUCUUCAGUGUUUCCAAAGACAAAACCUCAGUGUGGUGUGUGAAGUGACAACACAGGAAGGCGGUUGUAGGGCCAAACCAACCCUGCUGCUCAGUUCUCUCUCCCAGGCUCAGAGACCAGCCUGCCUUCCUGUGGUUUCCGUGGAACCGAAAUGUUUGCGUGGGUUUCGUCAUCUCCAGGAGAAGCUAGCUGGUCAUGCGGUGACGGCCUCGUCCUUCACCAGGAUGCCAAGUGCUGGGGGAUGAACCCAGAGACUUCAUAGAGCAGCUCAGUGAAUAGCCUCACCUCCCACCCAAGCUGAAAGUCCUGGAAGUCACCUUUGACACCUGCCCCCCAACCUCUGUCACCUACCAUACACAUCUGAUCAUCGCCAACAUUCAUUCAACAAGUUUUACAAGAAUAAGUAGUUUCAGGAGAAUUCAACAAAAAGAAAACAUGGAGAAAGAAAAUAUGGUGUGUUGAGGAAGUUUCCUCAAGCGCUGUUUACAAUAGCCAAGGCAUGGAGACAACCUAAAUGUCCAUCAACAGAGGAAUGGAUAAAGAGAUGUGGUGUAUACACAGUGGAAUAGUACUCAGCCAUUGAAAAGAAUGAAAUAAUGCCGUUUGCAGCAACAUGAAUGGGCCUGGAGAUUAUCAUAGUAAGUGAAUCAUUUGACCUAUUUGGAGGCAGCAUGAUAGAAGGCAAAGAGUUCAAGUUUCAGAGUCAGGCAAUUCUGGCCUCAAACCCUGGCAUUGCCACUUCUGUGUGAACUUGGACCUUGAAAAUACUGCUGAACUGAAUGAAUAAGCAUUUUCAGAACUCUAAUGAAAAACUGAUGAACUCAUAAAAGUGCUAACAAAAGAUCAAGAUGAAAAAAAAAAAUUAAUUACAUGGGACUGAGUGAACUGAUGAGGAUGAGUAUAAUUUUUGUGACUUUCUGUCUGAAUUUAAAAAAAAAAAAAAAAAAAAUUCCACAAGGACUCAGAGGCAAAGAAUAUACAAAUCAAUUUUCACUGCAAAGUAAAGGAGCUGUUACAGUGGAGGAUUACUGGACUGAAUGUCAAUACUAUGACAUAGUAUGAGUGUGUUUCAUGUUUGGUAAUUGCAAUCAUUGUUGCUUUUGUUGUGGUCAUCCAUGUACAAUGCUUGGUGUCAGUCGAUUUAUCUCUUGUAAAAAUAAAAUACAGUGUGUGUGU